rnacentral:rRNA from 1 species
GAUGAACGCUGGCGGCGUGCCUAAUACAUGCAAGUCGAGCGAAUGGAUUAAGAGCUUGCUCUUAUGAAGUUAGCGGCGGACGGGUGAGUAACACGUGGGUAACCUGCCCAUAAGACUGGGAUAACUCCGGGAAACCGGGGCUAACACCGGAUAACAUUUUGAACCGCAUGGUUCGAAAUUGAAAGGCGGCUUCGGCUGUCACUUAUGGAUGGACCCGCGUCGCAUUAGCUAGUUGGUGAGGUAACGGCUCACCAAGGAAACGAUGCGUAGCCGACCUGAGAGGGUGAUCGGCCACACUGGGACUGAGACACGGCCCAGACUCCUACGGGAGGCAGCAGUAGGGAAUCUUCCGCAAUGGACGAAAGUCUGACGGAGCAGCGCCGCGUGAGUGAUGAAGGCUUUCGGGUCGUAAAACUCUGUUGUUAGGGAAGAACAAGUGCUAGUUGAAUAAGCUGGCACCUUGACGGUACCUAACCAGAAAGCCACGGCUAACUCCUUGCCAGCCGCCGCGGUAA